UCAGCUAAAUUUUGUUCCAUUUGCUACAGGGUGGGGAUUCUGGCACAAAACGGGUAAACGUUGAGCAAGAACUAGAUACAAGGGUUGCCUGUGAAGUGCAAUCUGAGGAAAAUUCUUUGAGAGCUCCAGAGCAGCUUACGGCUUCGAAAUCAUUGGAAACUGUUUCAAAGACAUCUAAAGUACAUGGUAGACCUGAUAAGUCUGAUUACAAUGAGCUUCCCAAAGAAAUGCAUGAAAUGAAAAUUAAAGAUGAUAAAGCUGAUGACCAUGAGGAUAAUGCAAAGGAAAUGGAGCCCACUGUUGUCAGUGACAAUGGAGCUGAAACGGGUCAGAUAAUUGUGACUUCAAUAGGUGGUCGGAA